rnacentral:lncRNA from 1 species
CCACCCACCUCGACCUCCCGAAGUGCUGGGUUUACAGGCAUGAGCCACCGCACCCGGCCAACCACUAAGAUUUUUUUUGAGGGUCAUUUGUUACGUAGCCAAUCAUAGAAGAUACUAAAAGAAUGUUGCUGAUUAAAUAAAAAACUAAAAUAGGUACAUUGGCUUAGAGGCUGGGAGGGGCAAGGAGGAUGCUGUCGACCAAAGCAUUGUUGUUGACCAAAAUUGAAAAUGGUCCCUUUUAUGAAGAGGCAAAUAUUUGACAAAGUUGCCACUGACAGGAGACAGACCUAACUUGGAACUUAUCACUCCAAGAGAAGUUGCUGAAAACACAAGGUCCUUCAGGAAGAUUCCGGAAGAAGACAGUGUUAUCCUAGGAGACGACAGUUCCAUGAGUGUUAUGGCCCCAAAGACCCUCUAGUGAGACAGGAUAAAGAAGUAGAAGACAAUCAUAUUGAUGGUCCUGAC